rnacentral:lncRNA from 1 species
UUAUUCAGUUUGUAUAUUUGAAAUAUGAUGAAAAUUGAUUAGUUAAGUUUUAAUAUCUUUUCAUUUAAUUUGCACGUUUAAAAAUAAAAUAAAUAUUAAUUAGUUAAGUAAUAAUAUUUUGUUUACUAUCAUGAUUUUAUUAUUAUAUUAUUAUAAUUUAUGUAUAAACAUUUAAUUAAGUUAUUCUAAAUUACAUUUUUAAUUAUGUAAGAAUAUAAUUAUAUCAAAUUUGUAUUUAUUAUAUUAUAAUUUACUAUUUCUCUAGUUAUUUAUCAUAUAUAUAUAUAUAUAUAAUAUAAUAUAGUUUUUUCAUCAUUACUUUUUGACAAAUAAAUAACAGAACUAAAAAACUUCACUUUUAUAAUUAUAGUAAUAAACAGGGAGAGAUAAGUACGCUUCAUUUAAGACAAAUAAAUAACAGAACUAAAAAAUUUCACUUUUAUAAUUAUAGAAAUAAACAGGGAGAGAUAAGUACGCUUCAUUUAAACUCUUCUCACUUUCGUUAAAGGAUAUGUUUGGUUGUUCGAAAGUGGAUGAAGUGAAAAAAGUCACUUUUGUAAAAGUGACUUUUUAGUUCGAUUGUUUGGUUUGCUAUAAAUUAAAAACAUUAAAACUAUAAUUUUAUAAUUUUGAUUAUUAAAUUAUAUAUAAAGAGAUAAAAAUAUAAAGAAACGGCUUAUAAUUGCAAUUUAAAUGAAAAGUUUAAUUUAAAUUUAUAUUUAGAAUUCAAAAUUAUAUUUUAAAAUUUAAAUUUAAAGUUAAAUCUGAGUUGAAUUUAUAAUUAAAAUUUAAGACAUAAAUUUAAUUUACAAUUUGAAUUUAAAAUUUAAGUUAUAAUU